AUAUAUACAUAUACAUAUACAUAUACAUAUACAUAUAUGCAAUAACAUAUUUACGUAUUACAUAGACAGAAUCACACAAAGAGUAUUCUUUGAGUGAAACGUCGUAACGUGAUUUACGUCAUUUCUUCUCUACACAACGAUAUUUCACAAAUAUAUAUAUAUAUAUAUAUAUAUAUAUAUAUAUAUAUAUAUGAUGUAUGAUGUAUAUAUAUAUAAAAUCACGUAUGUAUGAUGCAUGCAAUGCAAUGCAAUGUAAUGUAACGUAAUGUACUGUAUGUUUGUAUAUGUAUGUAUAUAUGUAUAUAUAUGUGUGUGUAUAUAUAUAUACCACAGUACGAAGUAAGUCGAUAUCCUUGGAUAGAUUUCGACGAGGAAUAUUGCGUUUCGUGGCGAGUAAUCAUGUUCAGUACUCUCGUUUGCUCCGAUACGAUAACGGAGAUACGUUGAAAGUGAAAGAGAACGUUUUAUCUUUUGCGUAUCUAAACGGUAGCGAGUAUACGAAUCGAGAAUGGAGCCAGGAAGCGAGCGGACCGAUGAGAAGAAUUUAGAGAAGGACAAAGAGAAAAGUAAUCUAAUAAAGGAGAAGAAGGAAGAGACGUCGAGAGAAUUACGAGCUCAAACGGUGGAGGAAUUAACGAAUAUCGAAAAAAACGUCCUCGUAUUUUCUUCCUCGUACAAUCAAAGGAAAGAGAAAAAGGUCGUUAAAGUGGUCGAAGAAAAAACUGGUGAGAAAGGGAAUAACAAUAACAACAACGACAACAAGACUAAUAGUACUACCGCUAGUAGUAACAACGAUAGUAAAAAGAAGAAGAAGGAUAGCUUGGUGUUUGAGAAACCAUCGUUUCAAUUUUUCAAGGAAAAAGUCAAACCCGUUAAGCCGAUCAAACGUCCAACGACGAUCGGUAAUUUGUUGGUCGCAGGUUUGGACUCGAAAAACUUUUUAAUUAACGAAGACAAGCCCGAUAAGUCGAAGGUGGUCGAUGAAAAUUUUCGAGGGAAAGCGAUAAGGAGGGAAGAAGUUAAGAGGGACGGUGAAACGAGCUGCGAGAAGAAGAUCGAUCGUCGUAAGAGCCCGUUAGAUCGUUUGGAAGAAAGUAGAUCGAAGAUCAAAGUGUUACAGGAUAAUUUGGGUACACGGAUACAAGCUAUAACCGCGUUGAGUUACAACGAGGAAUUGUCGAAUCGUCCUUUGAGAUCGUCGAUCGAAAUCGAGACGAAUCAAAACCUUAACGAGAUAAAAUUUGAUUCAGACUUUUUAAAGAGGCAAAGAUUGGAGGAGAGAUUGGAGAUAGAGGAGAAACGUUCGACGUUGGAUAAGGAUUUGGAAACUAAACCGCGUUAUUGUAGAAAAGUAUCGGAAAUAGAGAAGAGAUGGUCCGGCGAAUUUCUUCACCGUAGAUCCAGAAACGAGGAUCGACCGGAGGAUUCUUCGUCUUCGGAGUCGUCCUACGUCGAAGAAUUUGGAAGCGCGUCGUCCCAGGAGAGUAUAGUCGUCGAAAGAUCCGUAAGAUCUUCCAACGCGAAAUUCGAGGAAGAUCGAGAAGCAAUAUCGUCGUGUAGAAGAGCGUCGGUCGAAUUUUUCGAAGGUAGUACGGUGAGCACGCUCGGUUCGGACUCGGGAUUGGACGAGGAGGAGAGGAAGCUGGCGAGCGACGGUUACAUCGAUCGUCGAUCACCGACCGCUAGAUCGUACGAGGAGGAUCCAUCGAGGAAAUCGAAGGAUCGAUCGAUACCGAGGGAGUCCGGGAGAAGGAGCGAAACGGUAAAUAAGAUAGAGCGAAGAACCGAGGACGGAUACGCCAAACUGAUAAGAGAAUUUACGAUGGAGCCUGGUGUUUCGAGAUUAAAGAAGGAAGAAAAGCAGAAAAAGAAGUCGGGCUUGAGGAGAUUGUUACCGGGUUUCUUCUCGCCGAAAGAUUCGAGGAAGGAUUACAACAAAAAGAAGGAGCGCAAGGAGAGAAGGAAACAGGACGAGAGACAUUUCGCUCGUUAUCAACAGAAUGGCAAUUACACGAGAUCGCCCGACACUAUGAAUUUGAACGAGGACAUAAAGAGGAACGUCAAAUUGGACAACAGUUUGAACGGUUCGAUAAUCGAGGAAAGAUUGGACGAGAUCAAGCGGGAACUGUUUCCGGAUCAGGGCUUGAUCACGAGUACGCCCGAUCACUUUUCGGAGAACGACGAGGGAAGGAAGAUCAUGGUGCAGGCGUCGAAGUAUCGUACGGAAAUAGCGCCGUGCAAUGCGAUCGUGGAGGAGGUCGGUAGAUGGUACGAUAGGAAAGUAUUAUCGAGCGAUGAUAAAAGAUACGAGGAGAGGAAGCUGGAGGAGGACGCGGGGACAAAACCGGGGUUGGAAUUGGAGAAUGGAAGAUCGACGUUGGGCGGUCAGUUGGAACGUAAGCACAGCCUUCAAGAGGCAAAUCGUGGUGGCCGAGCGUUCUUCCAAAGGAAUCACGGACCGUCCGGUAGGAUCUCGGCGCCACCCGCGGAAAGAUACUUUUCCAAGUCGAGAUUGGUGCGGCCGAUCGACAGACCGUUACCAGCCAUACCGCGUGCCAGAGUAGAACUAUCCAAUUACGAGAAUUACGAGAGGGAGGAGUGCCAAGAGGAACGGGAGUCGCGCGCGGAGAAUUAUGAAAACGAGCUCGGGAGAAGACGCUCGGUGACGGUUGUCGUCGACACGUCCAACGACAGGACCGGGAAAUAUUCCUCGCCGGGAUCUAGCCAGAAGUCCGGCGACUACGCGGAUUCCUGUUGCACGCCCAAUUCGAGCCAGAAGAGCGAGUUCUCGCCGUCGAGUUCGAAGAGCGGCGAGUAUUACUUGAACUCGCCGAGGACCAGCGCUAGGACCUCGCCGAGCGCGCAGAACGAAGGGAUUUACGCGAACGAGACGCCGCGAGCCGCGAAGAAUCCCGGUUAUCCCGGGGACGAGCUGGAGGAACGAGUGUACGACGAGACGCCACCGUCCCCGCUCGGAGAUGGUCCCGAUACCGAGCUCGAGAGAAAGCACGACGACGCCGAUACGACGAGCAACAGAAUUCCAAUGCCGAGUAAAAAGGGUUCUUCGUCGUCGCCGAGAGGAGCCUCGAGGAAGGCGCAGCCGAGCGAUCAAAUUUUGAUAGCCUCGCCCAAGAGAGAAGUUAUUUACGAGAGAAGGACGUUCGGUAACAUCGAACGUCUGCGUCCGGAAUCGCCGAUUGCCGCGACGAUGUGCAACGUGCCGAAGGACCGCGUCGAGAGGAUCAACGACGACGACGGUUUCUCCAGAAUGAAGGAGAGUCAAGGUCAACGGAAUCGCGACAACAUCGACGGCCACAGAUCGGCGAGCCUGCCGCCGUUCUCGAUGAUACCGACGGCGUCGGCCAGCUCGUCGGUCUGUACGAUGAAAAAUCUUCAAAGACCCGAACCAGUUUACGCCGGUUCUCGUCUACGAAGCGAGCCCGGCGCGUGCAGAAGAAACGUCAACGAUUCCUCCGGCCCGACGACGACGGCGACGGCGACGGCGACGGCGACGACGACGCCGUCGUCCUUGUCCGUCUCGAGUCAAGAGAAACUUUAUACCAGCAAAGGUUCUCUCCAACGCGAACCGAUCUCGGAGAGACAGAGAGCUCGCGUUCUCGUCGGCGAAAGUUCUCGGAUGGGCAACGAGGCCGGCGUUUAUCACGGACAAGGCUGUCCGAUAAGUUGCAACCCAGCGUCGCUGCCGUCGUCCUCGUCGUCGCCUUCGAAGAGACGAACCAUGCAACACUUGGAAGCCUUUUAUUGGCAGCAAAAGGCAUUGGAAGCUCAUAGGAAAACCGGAUUGCCCGUCAACAACGAAUCUCUGCGCGUCGAGCCAACGCGCGACAAGCAACCUACUUCUCACAAGAUAAACCUCCCGGAGAUUCGAGAGGCCGUCUAUUGGCAACAAUUGAAGAAACUCGACGAGGAACAACAACGGCGGAUUUACGAAAGAAAUUUAAUGGAGGAGUCUCGCCUCGACUCGGCUCGAUCGAUCUCGAGUCGUCCGGUCGGUCGAUCGGCCGUUCGUCAGCAACCGGCGACAACGUCCUCCGACGCCACCAUGGAGCGAUCCUAUUGGUCCAAUGAGAAAACGCGUCCGGCGAAAACCAGUAACCCCUUGAGACCCAACUUGAUGCACGGCCAAAAGGGUUCCACCCAACCCAUCCUAAUAGUCAGACCCCAGCAACACGCGAUUCGCGAUCGACAAGAGAUACCGAUUAAAUCCGUCGACGAUCGUUCCAGAUUGAGUCCCAGAAGAUCGAAGAGCGCCUCUCCGCAUUUACGCGUUAAUCGUAACGUCAACAAAUCCGACGGUAUAGUUUACAAUUGCGACGACGACAACGAUUGCAACAACGACGGCAACAAGCAACAAACCACUCGACCUCAUCCUAUAUUUAAACGUGGAAGUUUGGUGAGCAGCGACUCCGUCGAAUACUCCACUACCGGUACGAAAAGAGUUAGUUUUUCUAAUCAAAACGUUGGGACCGAAUUGUCCAACGGUAAUUGGCCGACCAAACAUGGGACGGCCUCCGAACCACCGACGAGAAGGCACAGAAGCGACGACAGCGUUUCCGACACCGAUUCCGUGUUCAUUCGUGAUCCCAAUUUGGAUAUCGUAUAUACCGGUUAUCCAACGACGUCUUCUUGUUCUCGUAAUUUAGAAGCUAGUUACGGUUAUCAUCGGACACCUCGGAACAACGACUCAAAGUCCCUUUCGCAAGAAUACGACGCCGACAGACCGCUUCCACCGUUACCCAAGGAACCUAACGUCGGUCAAGGACAAAGAUGGAACGUCCCUCCCAAUAACUAUAGGAAGUGGCCUGCCCUUUGCGAGAGCGAAAGCGGAAGCGAAGCUGCCGGCGAGGUUCAACGAAUAUUCGGCAGGAGCGACGUCAGUAGCGGCGCUAACGCCGCUUUGGGAGGACGUACAGUUUGGGGCGGAGGUGGUUCGCGUUCGGCAUCGAUCCCCCGGCUUGGUUGGUUCCCGUGACGUCACACGAAGGGAGAGGCGGCUCGAGCCGGGAUUCGCGCGUCGCUUUUCAAGGCCGAUGACGUGAGCUCAAAACGCUGAAGCGGCUACGAGAGAUGCUGAUACGUUGGAAGAGCAAGGACAAGAGCUCGAGCAAGAGCUCGUCCGCCGGUGGUGCCGGAAAGAAAAAACGCAAGUUUGGUAGAGAAGAAGAGAUUUGAUGUUUGGUGAUAAAGAAGGAACAUGCGGUCAAAGUUCGCAGCAGUAACAGUAGCAGUAGCAGUAGCAACAACAGCAACAGCAACAGCAACACCAGCUACACCCUGCUCCAAGAUCCGAUCCGAAUGUUGGAGGAGGCGCUUGCGCGCAGGUUGCAUGGCCCCGUUUCUCCCCCUUCUUCUCCCUCUUCUUCUCUUGGCCCUCGUGACCCCGGGUGUGUGCACCACCAGCAAGCAGCACCAGCAGCAGCAGCAAGGCUGCUUGUGCUCGUGAGACUGCGUCCCACCCUGAGUGGCCGAUCCUCGCGAGAACAGUAACGUUGUAUCGUUCUAUCGUGCAUCAUCUGUCUCUCUCUCUUUUUCUCUCUUUGCUUAUCUAUCUAUCUAUCUAUCUAUCUAUCUAGAAAGCUAGCUAGCUAGCUAUCUAUUUAUCUUUCUCUCUCACUCGCUUAUUCAUUCUCCGUCUCUCUCUAUCUUCGUCUCUGACUCUAUCUUUCUCUCUCUCGCUCGCUCGCUCGCUCUACGUCUCUGGUUCUGGCUUUAGUGCGCCCUUCAAAUUUAUAUCGAGAAAAAAAUAAAGAAAAAAGGACAGCUUUUCUCGAGAAAACAUCUCUUUCGGGGACGAAGAAGAGAAAAUGUCUGGAUCCUCUCGAGUUUUCUUCGCAUUUGGAGAUGUUGUUAUAUUUGUAAUGAAUGUUGCAAUAUAAUUAGUCGGUUUAAUUACUCGUGUGUGUGUUUAUAUAUAUAUAUAUAUAUAUAUAUAUAUAUAUAUAUUAUAUAUAUGUAAAGAAAAAAAGAAAUUCGGAAAACUCACGAAAACGUUCGCGCCGUUAACGCGACCUCUGACCUUUGAGUGUACGCACGAGCGCGCGCGCGUAAAAGAGAGAUUGAGAGAGAGAGAGAGAGAAAGAGUACAUCAAUCGAAUGCGUUUUAUACGAUUUCGAAGGAUAAUUCAUGUUUCAUGUCAGAUGACACAUUUUGAGCAAAUCUGAGAUUAAAAGGAGAGACUCUAAGAUUGGUAAUUUUCUUUACUUUUCUUUUUUUUUUCUUUCCUUUUCUUUUCUUUCUUUAAUUGGUUGUUCUAUGACAAAGAAAGAUUUUUGUUUGAUAAUGGAAUUCUAUUGGUACGUCAUGUGUGAUAUAUAAAUGACGAGUGAUCCAGCCUAAAACGAGAAGUCUUUCGUGGAUCUAUAAAGAUGCGUAUUUUCGUCUGGAGACAUUGCGUUUCGUUGGACGGUAAGAAAUUUAUUGUUUAAUACAUACAUAUAUAUAUAUUUAUAUAUAUAUAUAAAUAUUUGAUUGGUUUUAUAAUAAACGAUGUUGAAAUUCAUAUUAAAAAAAGACCGAAGUGGACGUGUGAGCUUUAUCGAAUUUAUCAACAUUUUUAAUAAUAAAAU